GGCUUCUUGUUUAUUUUGGAAGUCUGACCUGCCCGGUGAUUAAAUUUAACGGCCGCGGUAUUUUGACCGUGCAAAGGUAGCAUAAUCAUUAGUCUUUUAAUAGAAGGCUGGAAUGAAAGGUUUAACGAAACAUUAACUGUCUCGUUUAUAUAUUUUAAAAUUUAAUUUUUAAGUUAAAAAGCUUAAAUUUUGUUGAUGGACGAGAAGACCCUAUAGAGUUUUAUAUUAACGGUUUUAAUAAAAGAAUUGUUUAAUGAUUUUUAAUUAAUUUCUUUAUUAUUUUGUUGGGGUGACAAAAAAAUAUAAUUAACUUUUUUAUUUGAAAAACAUAAAUUUAUGAAUAUUUGAUCCGAUUUUAUUGAUUAUUAGAUUAAAUUACCUUAGGGAUAACAGCGUAAUCUUUUUUUGGAGUUCAAAUUUACAAAAAGGCUUGCGACCUCGAUGUUGGAUUAAGAUUAUAAUUUGGUGCAGUAGCUAAAUUAAUAGGUCUGUUCGACCUUUAAAUUCUUACAUGAUCUGAGUUCAGACCGG
rnacentral:rRNA from 1 species